rnacentral:rRNA from 1 species
CCUACGGGGGGCUGCAGUGGGGAAUUUUGGACAAUGGGCGCAAGCCUGAUCCAGCAAUGCCGCGUGCAGGAAGAAGGCCUUCGGGUUGUAAACUGCUUUUGUACGGAACGAAACGGUUCGGGUUAAUACCCUGGGCUAAUGACGGUACCGUAAGAAUAAGCACCGGCCAACUACGUGCCAGCAGCCGCGGUAAUACGUAGGGUGCAAGCGUUAAUCGGAAUUACUGGGCGUAAAGCUUGCGCAGGCGGUUGAAAUCCCCGGGCUCAACCUGGGAAUUGCGCUUGUGACUGCAAAGCUGGAGUGCGGCAGAGGGGGAUGGAAUUCCGCGUGUAGCAGUGAAAUGCGUAGAUAUGCGGAGGAACACCGAUGGCGAAGGCAAUCCCCUGGGCCUGCACUGACGCUCAUGCACGAAAGCGUGGGGAGCAAACAGGAUUAGAUACCCCGGUAGUC